rnacentral:rRNA from 1 species
CCCGCUGAACUUAAGCAUAUCAAUAAGCGGAGGAAAAGAAACUAACAAGGAUUCCCCUAGUAACUGCGAGUGAAGCGGGAAAAGCUCAAAUUUAAAAUCUGGCGGUCUUGCGGCCGUCCGAGUUGUAAUCUGGAGAAGCGUUUAUCCGCGUCGGACCGUGUACAAGUCUUCUGGAAGGGAGCGUCAUAGAGGGUGAGAAUCCCGUCUCUGACAUGGACAACCGAUGCUUUUGUGAUACGCUCUCGAAGAGUCGAGUUGUUUGGGAAUGCAGCUCAAAAUGGGUGGUAAAUUCCAUCUAAAGCUAAAUAUUGGCGAGAGACCGAUAGCGAACAAGUACCGUGAGGGAAAGAUGAAAAGCACUUUGGAAAGAGAGUUAAACAGUACGUGAAAUUGUUGAAAGGGAAACGCUUGAAGUCAGUCGCGCCCGCCGGGACUCAGCCUUGCUUCUGCUUGGUGCACUUCCCGGCUGGGCGGGCCAGCAUCGUUUUCCGCGCCGGACAAACCCGUGAGGAAUGUGGCAGCUCCGGCUGUGUUAUAGCCUCGCGCGGCACAACGGCGCAGGGGAACGAGGAAUCCGGGCGCAAGCCCUGGGAUGCUGGCGUAAUGGCUUUAAGCGACCCGUCUUGAAACACGG